UACGAACUGCGCGAACGUUAUUCGGAAUCACUGGGCUUACAGGGUGCGUAGGCGGCUUGUCAGGUCAGAUGUGAAAUCCCACAGCUCAACUGUGGAACUGCAUUUGAAACCGACAGGCUAGAGUGAGCUAGAGGAAGACGGAACUUCCGGGGGAGCGGUGAUAUGUGUUGAUAUCGGAAGGAACCCCAGAGGCGAAAGCGGUCUACUGGAGCUUGUCUGACGCUGAGGCACGAAAGCCAGUGUAGCGAACGGG
rnacentral:rRNA from 1 species